rnacentral:sRNA from 1 species
UGACUUCCCUUGUUCUCUUCUUUUGUCAAUUCCGCACGUCGUACAGCACAUUUCUUUUCAUAUCUGAAUUGGACACCAGAUAGCUUCCUUGAGGUGUUUCCUCAGGUUUUCUUGCAACCCUGCUACCUCACUACAAUGCAAUUGUUCUAGAUGCUCAAUCGUUGCGGUGAGUUCCACGGUGGCACCAUUGUUGGCUGCUAAGUGGUUGAUGCAAAAGCGGAUCAAGGGUGUUGAUGCCGAGUGUUGUAGGCAUGGCCCUUCAUUCAAUGGAUAGUACAGGCGAGGUGGGCUCAUGGCAGGUGUGGGAUUAGCCAAUCUGUAGGAAGCACAAUGCGCGGGUAGGUCUUUAAUGACAAUGGCAGCGAGU